GGUGGUAGGAAUAUAGAGAGACGAGAGCUACUCGGCCAUGCUGAGCGAUGCACCGUGACCAGCUGUCUCAAGCCCCCGAUGCAGCAACUUCCCUACAAUAACCGAUGGUAACCCGGAACUGGGAGUGGAACUAUUUUCUCAACAGCAGGAGAAACUAAGCACAGGGAACAAGUCCCAGGAGGGCGAGCAGCACCCCUGACCAUCACCAGAGGAAAUUCAAACAAAGCGUUUUCAUUUCCUAUCCGUUUGUUCGGAAGAUCAGUUUUUCCUCUUCAAGUUAAUACUGUUUCCUUUACUAAAGUAAGAUUCUUAUUGUGUAAAAAUUAACCACUUCAGAACAUAUAAUUCAGUAGCGUUCAGUGCACUUGCAAUACUGUAAACCCACCUCUCUCCGGUUAUAAAGUAUUUUCAUCCC
rnacentral:lncRNA from 1 species